UACAGAGGUCUCAAGCGUUGUUCGGAUUCAUUGGGCGUAAAGGGUGUGUAGGUGGCGCGCUAAGUCGGGUGUGAAAUUUCGGAGCUUAACUCCGAAACUGCAUUCGAUACUGGCGUGCUUGAGGACUGGAGAGGAGACUGGAAUUUACGGUGUAGCAGUGAAAUGCGUAGAUAUCGUAAGGAAGACCAGUGGCGAAGGCGGGUCUCUGGACAGUUCCCGACACGUGAGACACGGAAGGCCCAGGGGAGCAAACGGG
rnacentral:rRNA from 1 species